AUGAUCUGUCAAGGUACACUCUAUUUCCUGGAAAGCUGUAUUCCGUUUGCGCGCAACACCUUGUAUGCAAGUAUCCUAAACUCAAGGACAACACGAAGACUGGCUAUGGCACCUGGGUUAUGUCUCUGAGAUACAAGGCUAAAAACACAAGAAGGCGCCUGCCACCAGGUAACCCCGUCCUUGAAGACGCUCGUCAAAAAGCGAAGAAGCAAUGCACACCUU